rnacentral:rRNA from 1 species
AUUGAACGCUGGCGGCAGGCCUAACACAUGCAAGUCGAGCGAGCGGCGGACGGGUGAGUAAUGUAUGGGGACUGCCCGAUAGAGGGGGAUAACUCUUGGAAACGGUGGUUAAUACGGCUAACUGUCGGUGAACCCAUAUGGGAUUAGCUAGUAGGGAAGGUAAUGGCUUACCUAGGCGACGAUCCCUCGCUGGUCUGAGAGGAUGAUCAGCCACACUGGGACUGAGACACGGCCCAGACUCCUACGGAGGCAGCAGUGGGGAAUAUUGCACAAUGGGCGCAAGCCUGAUGCAGCCAUGCCGCGUGUAUGAAGAAGGCCCUAGGGUUGUAAAGUACUUUCAGUCGGGAGGCGUUACCGACAGAAGAAGCACCGGCUAACUCCGUGCCAGCAGCCGCGGUAAUUC